rnacentral:rRNA from 1 species
UACGUAGGGGGCUAGCGUUGUCCGGAAUCAUUGGGCGUAAAGAGCGUGUAGGCGGUCCGGUAAGUCCGCUGUGAAAGUCGGGGGGCUCAACCCUCGAAUGCCGGUGGAUACUGUCGGGCUAGAGUGCGGAAGAGGCGAGUGGAAUUCCCGGUGUAGCGGUGAAAUGCGUAGAUAUCUGGAGGAAUACCGGUGGCGAAGGCGGCAUCCUGGACCGAGAUUGACGCUGAGGAGCGAAAGCUAGGGGAGCAAACGGG